GGAGAUACUCCCAAUGGUUGUAAUUCAGAGUUAAAACUUGUGAUUUUGUUAAAGUACGAUAUGAAUUCAUGUAGGGGGUGUUUCGAACGAGUCCUUGCGACUGAAAAUACAUUAUUUUAAUUAGUAAUUCUAUUCAGAUCGACAGAUCUGGAUGCUAGUGAAGAGAUCUCAUAAAAUAAUAAUUUGAAUAAGAUAUGAAUCACAUUUUCACAAUUAAUCAAUUGAAUUCUACAAUAAACUCUACCACAGGCUUCGAUCAACAAUAGUAACUAGAUUUCGGGUCGGUGCAUAAAAUCCGUCUCGUCAAAUAACAGCGCACUUGAAAUGUGAGCUCUUAUUUUGUUUAGUUCACUUCAAACACAGCCAAUGUCAACCCGUCUCACAAUACCGCAGUGUGUAUUCAAAAGUUGCAAAAAUAAGGCCCGAAAAAGCAAUUUAACGGCCGGAGUAUCUUACUUUCGCUUUCCUAGCAAUCACGUGUGCAGAAUGGAUCUCGAUUGUCGCCAGAGAAAAAAGAGAUGACUUUUAUAAGCCAGCUAAGAACUCCGCUUAUUGACACUGGACAUCUUUGCCUUCCGAGCUCACGGCUACUGAAAUGUGGCCGAAACAUUGUAAUAAAAAUACCACGCUUGAAACCGUUUAAA